rnacentral:rRNA from 1 species
AUUUAAGGUGGGGACUCAGAUGAGACUGCCGGUGACAAACCGGAGGAAGGUGGGGACGACGUCAAGUCAUCAUGGCCCUUAUGUCCUGGGCUACGCACGUGCUACAAUGGCCGGUACAGAGUGAAGCGAAACCGCGAGGUGAAGCAAAACGCAGAAAGCCGGUCUCAGUACGGAUUGGAGUCUGAAACUCGACUUCAUGAAGUUGGAAUCGCUAGUAAUCGCGCAUCAGAAUGUCACGGUGAAUACGUUCCCGGGCCUU